GUGGGGAAUAUUCCGCAAUGGACGAAAGUCUGACGGAGCAACGCCGCGUGAGUGAUGAAGGUUUUCGGACUGUAAAGCUCUGUUGUUUAGGACGAAAGUGCCUGUUGCAAACAGUUACAGGUAUUGACGGUACUAAACGAGGAAGCCACGGCUAACUACGUGCCAGCAGCCGCGGUAAUACGUAGGUGGCAAGCGUUGUCCGGAAUUAUUGGGCGUAAAGAGCAUGUAGGCGGGAAUCUAAAUCUGUUGUGAAAAUGCGGGGCUCAACCCCGUAGUGCGAUGGAAACUGGGUUUCUUGAGUGCAGGAGAGGAAAGGGGAAUUCCCAGUGUAGCGGUGAAAUGCGUAGAUAUUGGGAGGAACACCAGUGGCGAAUGCGCCUUUCUGGACUGUGUCUGACGCUGAGAUGCGAAAGCCAGGGUAGCGAACGGGAUUAGAUACCCCAGUAGUCC
rnacentral:rRNA from 1 species